rnacentral:tRNA from 1 species
GGUCGCUUAGCUCAGUUGGGAGAGCAUCGCCCUUACAAGGCGAGGGUCACUGGUUCAAGUCCAGUAGCGACCACCA